GGGACUUUUGUAAUCCGCUUUCCUUGCCGAUGGACAGGAAUAUUGUCACUCACAUUUGACUUUGGUAACCCAGCAGCUUCCUGUCUUACACGCAGAGCCGGCGCGCAGGACACUCCCCUGCAGACACUUGGUAUACUAGUUUGGCUGCACCUCGUGCAAAGCAGCCCUGAAAGCUAGGGCUUGCAAACAGGAUGUGGAACCAAGUCUUCUUCGGUUGGAAACCUGGCUCCCGAGGCAUUCUCCGCAGUCAGCGUCCAGAGUGGAUUUCAGAUCAAGAUCCCCAAAGUGGCGAGCAUCUGCCAGGACUGUGAACUUCAGGAGGACAGGAGCUUUAUGUUUUUCAUGGCUUUAGCCUCAUUCCUGGAAGAAACACUGGCACACAAGAGCAUCAAACCACCAGCCUCGAACUCCUUGGCCUCAGGACUGCUUUGCACUCUUAAAAAUUAUUGAGUGCUCCAACAAGCUUUUGUUUACUUGGAAUCUAUCUGUUGAUUUUUACUGUAUUAGAAAUUGAAAUGGAAAUGUUUAAAAUAUAUUGAUUGAUUCAUUCAUUUAUAAUGACAAUAAAACCCCACUUCAUGUUUA